rnacentral:lncRNA from 1 species
UAGCUGAAAGAUGUAAGACACCACAUUAUACUUGUGUUCUGCUUGGAUUUAUACAUCUUUAUGGAGGUGUUAAGGGUUUUAUAGUACGAGAAGUACCCUAACUGUUCAGGUGUAAAAGUAACAGGUUUCUUAGGGAGAUUCAAGGCCAUGUAUCCAUCCCUUCUAGGUCCCGCAUGUGUUUCUUGCCCAUGUGAUGGAGAAACAACCACGCAUCAACACCACGGGCCCGGGGCUCUGGGGCGGUCCCGGGCGGUCCCGGCUCCGGUGCGGGGUCCCAGCGGCGCUGCGCGGGGCGGGGCCGAGGUGAUUUAAUCCCUGGAAAUCGCCUCCAGCCCCAUUUGCCCACCCGCAGGGCAGGGAGGCUGCGGCCGGGCUGGGCUCUCCCACGGCCUGUACCCCUCUCUUUCUCCUGCCCUUCUCCUCCUUUGUUUCUCCCUUAUCUCUGCUUUCCUACCCCUCCAUUUCCUUACUCCCUCCCGCCCCGCCCUGCCUCUCCCCCUUCGCCAGCCCUCUGCACAUCCCCGACCCCCUCCCACCCCUCUCCCUACCCCACUCCCCAACCCGACUCCCCUCUCUUGCCCCUCUACCGCUUUUCUGUCCAUCAUCCCGCUCCCUCACCCAUCCCUAUCCCCUCCUCCUCCCAUCCUCCGUCUCUCUCCCUCCUUCCCCGUAGCCGGGGCUCGGGCACCGGAGAAUAAAGCCCAGAGAGCCGGAGCCGGCGCCCCCCGCUGUCCCUGGAGCCCCGCACGGGGCCGGACCCGCUCAUACCAUGGGCUCGUGGGGUGACUUGGAAGAGACGACGAAAACUCUCUGGACUCUGUUGUUCCGUCUCACGGCAAAGAACACGGCCAAGACUGCCUCCUCAGCCUCAUGGAAUGGCAGUGGCUGUGUGGAGCUCUGGCAGGAGUGCCUGGAGACCAGCACCUCUGGUUCACAUCCUGCUGGCUUUCCCCUCCCUUGGGAAAGGAAGGAUUUCAUCCAGAGCCUGGAGAAGGAGGAAACAAGGAGGCCCAGCCCAUGGACGGUUCAGAUGAGCCACGGGAGGACACAGAAUCUGUGUAGGGAUUUCUGACCCAGGGGCCACAUUCCUUCAAACCCAGUGCAAACUCAUUAAAAUGAUCUUUCCACAAAUACCUCCUAAAGCACAUGAGAACCUAAAUGAGAAAAUGGAAUCAGCCCCUUUGUUCCAUUGGCCUCACACCCCAAAUUCCAGUG